rnacentral:lncRNA from 1 species
UAAAAUUCUCUUAAAUAAUAGGAAUAACGAAACCCUCUUGUGGAUCGGGCUCUGGAUCUUGGUCCUUUUGAUAUGAAAGGUUAAUGAAAGAGUAAGCUACACUAGCCGAGUAAGAAUGUUACACUACUCACCGACAAAGAAAUAAAGGUUGGUAGAAAUCAUAAAAACAACUAAUGAAGCUCUUAAUUUAAGUAAAUUCAAUAAUCAUGAAUAAAAUCAUUUACUGUAUACUUACCAUAGCGAGAUUUCCAAAACCGACCUAUAGAGGCAAUGACAUAAACAAUAUCAUAAUCUCAUAUUCAAUCAGUCGGAACAAUAACUUUAUCUUUUAUAAGCCUACUAGUAUCUAUGGAGGUCCAUAGGGAUGUCUUUACUACGCGUGAACUUUUAUUCAACAUUUUCAAACUAACAGGCCGUCCUCAUACCCCGUCCGGUAUCAGCACCAAAAGAUACCAUCCCUCAAUACCCCGUCUGGUACGAGGGUGAAACGGGCCAUCCCCAUACCCCGUCCGGUAUGAAGGUAAAACGGGUCGUCCCCAUACCCCAUCCAAUAUGAACGCCAAAAUACAAAUCCUCGAUACCCCGUCCGGUAUGAGACAACAUUCAC